GUGCUCACUUCAGCAACGCAUAUACUAACAUUGGAACAAUACAGAGAAGAUUAGCAUGGAUCCUUCAGGUGUUUUUUUUUUUAAAAAAAACUAGCAGCUAUAU